rnacentral:rRNA from 1 species
ACUGAAAUGGGAGGAGCCCAGCGCAUAACCUCGCGGUCCCUGGCCGGCCGACGAGGGGUGUUGCGUUUCGGUGGACCCGCCCCGCUCGGGCCGUUUACCGCCUAAGUCAUUGCUUGAAAGCAGCCCCGCGGAGGGUGAUAGGCCCGUGUGGCGGCGCCUGUAAAAAGGGUAAAGGCGGCUCGGGCGGAGGGGUCUUCACCGUAGAGUCGGGUUGCUUAGUACUGCAGCCCUAAGCAGGUGGUAAACUCCAUCUAAGGCUAAAUACUACCACGAGUCCGAUAGAGAACAAGUACCGUGAGGGAAAGUUGAAAAGGACUUUGAAGAGAGAGUUCAAAAGGACGUGAAACCGUUAGAAGCUUAAACGGGUGGAACCGCGAAGGUCGAACGAGGGGAUUCAGCUCGCCGGUCUGCGGAAGCGGGCGGCGGUACAUGAGAAUUCCAGUGAGAGGACCCGGCGCAAACGACGACAUGCCGUGGCCCCGCCCCCGCCUCCGGAGUUGCCGGCGGGCUUACUUCUCCCUCCAGUAGGUCGCCGCGACCCGUCGCGGGGACCCCCAAGGCCGUCCCGGAUUGGUAGCCCAGGCGCAGCUCUGGGUGAUGACCGGCGGCGGUUCUGACGGGCCCCUGCGACGGUCACUGCCAGGAGGCCGCGUGACGCGGCCUCUCGCGGCGUGCAAGGGAUCGGUAAUCCACCCGACCCGUCUUGAAACACGGACCAAGGAGUCCAACAUGUGCGCGAGUCUAAGGGCGAACUAAACCCGGAGGCGAAAUGAAAGUGAGCUACUGUGUGACUUAUCUCACGGCAGGCCGAUCCCCGGCCGUCCGUUCCCGGGGGCUGUCCCCGCUCUCGGCGUGAGGAACUUAUCCGCUGGGCGGGGCGCUCUCGGGGCGGCGGCUAACCACGCUCCGCAGCGAGCCGGGGCGCAGGCCGAGGACUUGCCGCUCGGCGGCCCGGGAAGCGGGGUGCUCCGGCGCCCUCGACCCGGCGUCCGCCGGCAAGUACCUAAGAGCGCACACGUUGGGACCCGAAAGAUGGUGAACUAUGCCUGGCGAGGAUGAAGCCAGAGGAAACUCUGGUGGAGGUCCGAAGCAGUUCUGACGUGCAAAUCGAUUGUCAGAGCUGGGUAUAGGGGCGAAAGACUAAUCGAACCAUCUAGUAGCUGGUUCCCUCCGAAGUUUCCCUCAGGAUAGCUGGCAUUCAGGAUGAUGAGUUUCAUCCGGUAAAGCGAAUGAUUAGAGGCCUUGGGGGUGCAAUGCCCUCAACCUAUUCUCAAACUUUAAAUGGGUGAGAUGUGGAGCUUGCUUGAUGAUUAAACGUUGAAGCUCUAUGGUGGAAGAAUCAGAAUGUCUAGUGGGCCACUUUUGGUAAGCAGAACUGGCGCUGUGGGGUGAACCAAACGCGCGAGUUAAGGGGCCUAAACGAAUGCUAAUGUUGACACUAAGAAAAGGUGUUGGUUGCUAUAGACAGCAGGGCGGUGGCCAUGGAAGUUGGAAUCCGCUAAGGAGUGUGUAACAACUCACCUGCCGAAGCAACUAGCCCUUAAAAUGGUAUGGCGCUCAAGCAUUCUCCCGAUACUCGGCCGCCGGGGCACUAACGGCCCGCCCUGUGGCGGGUCUCGAAGCCCCGGCGAGUAGGAGGGUCGCAGCGGUGUGCGCAGAAGGGAUCCGGCGCGAGCCGGCCUGGAGCCGCCGCUGGUGCAGAUCUUGGUGGUAGUAGCAAAUAAUCAAGAGAGAGCCUCGUUGGCUGAUGUGGAGAAGGGUUCCAUGUCAACAUCAGUUGAACAUGGGUGAGUCAGGCCUAAGCCCAAGGAUAAACUUCCUGUGUCCCAUGGUUUCCGCUGGCGACUUGUCGGUCGUGGGUUCGGGGGCGCUUCUCGGGCGGGGCUCUUUUCUCCUCUGCCGGAACUGCACUGCAGUGCAGCCGGCGGGGAAGGGAAGGGGCCCGCACACGCGCUCUCACUCCCCAAAAAUGCAAUUAACAACAGCAAUGAAAUAAGCAAAGGAGGGGAUGCAGU